GACGGAGGAUGCAAGUGUUAUCCGGAAUCACUGGGCGUAAAGCGUCUGUAGGUGGUUUAAAAAGUCUACUGUUAAAAAUUGAAGCUUAACUUCAAAGAUGCCGUAGAAACUUUUAAACUUGAGGAUGGUAGGGGUAGAGGGAAUUUCCAGUGGAGCGGUGAAAUGCGUAGAUCUUGGAAAGACCACCAAUGGCGAAGGCACUCUACUGGGCCGUGACUGACACUAAGAGACGAAAGCUAGGGGAGCAAAUGGG
rnacentral:rRNA from 1 species